GCAAGCUGGCGGCGUCCUAAUCGUGNGAGUNUNAANNCUUCUUGGNANANCGGAGCUUGCUUUACCGGAAAAAGAGGAGUGGCGAACGGGUGAGUAACACGUGGGUAACCUGCCCAUCAGAAGGGGAUAACACUUGGCAAACANGUGCUAAUACCGCUAUAACAAUCUAAACCGCAUGGUUUUGAUUUGAAAGGCGCUUUCGGGUGUCGCUGAUGGAUGGACCCGCGGUGCAUUAGCUGGUUGGUGAGGUAACGGCUCACCAAGGCCACNAUGCAUAGCCNACCUGANANGGUGAUCGGCCACAUUGGGACUGAGACACGGCCCAAACUCCUACGGGANGCANCAGUANGGAAUCUUCNGCAAUGGACGAAAGUCUGACCGAGCAACGCCGCNUGAGUGAAGAAGGUUUUCGGAUCGUAAAACUCUGUUGUUAGAGAAGAACANGGNUGANANUAACUGUUCAUCCCUUGACGGUAUCUAACCAGAAAGNCUCGGCUAACUACGUGCCANCAGCCA
rnacentral:rRNA from 1 species